GGGGUUGUGGCUCAGUGGUGGAGUGCUCGCCUCACACGUGUGAGGCCCUGGGUUCAAUCCUCAGCACCA
rnacentral:tRNA from 1 species